AAAUAAAAUGAAUUGAAUUGAAUUGAAUUCGACCACGGAGACAUGAGAUGUGCGUGUUGAUUUCCCAUGUGUCAGAUGGCCGCUCAGCCCUCAGCAGAUGUUCAAGAAGCCCGUGGCGUUCUGCGUGGAGGUCCGGUAUUUUGUCACAUUCUGCUCUCUGCAGUCCCCAUUUCCAUACCAAAGGCCUUAUGUCUGCCACGGGGCAUCUGCUCACACCACCGCUAGCCAGCUCUCUCCACGGGUCGGCUCGCUAUCAGCCCCGGGUUCUCCUGGUUUAACAUGUAAAUCAGUGGGAACACGCAUCAUCCAGGUGUCUGUUGAAAGGGACUUUUUGUACGCUGUGUGUUGAUUCCACAGCAGUUUAAAAUGGAGAACAUUUGCUGUCAGGUUAAUCUCACUCCUAAUUAUGUUUCAUAACGUGCUCCGGCUGGAGGAUCAAAUUGUGUCUUAAAACGAGGAGAACCGUCGCAGCAUCAUUUAUGGAACAUGUAAAUGACAUAUUGAUGCCAAGAGAUAUGCUGUGCAGGAACAACCAAGAUUCCAUCAACAAUGAAACAAGAUCCUACAGAUUAUUAAGGCAGCACUAACUAUUCCAUGUUUGCUCAUGAUAACAACAGCAUCCCCAAAUCCUUGCGUGAUGUGAAAGGCGUCGCUCCUUCUUCACACACAAAAAGCACCAACUCAGCACCCUCCUGUUUUAGUUCUUUCUGCCGCAACGGGAAAUGUAAGACAGGAAGAAGGCUCUGAUAAACUCACGGUAUUGUACAUCAGACAGGCACAGUUAGAGCUGGUGAACACAGCUACAGAUAUUUACAAAUAUUUCACUGGUAGAGACCCAAAACAGAGCUGGACGGGAGACACCAGUGGACAUGGUGCAGAUAGAUGACAAUUACAAUGCUGCUCCAAUGUUGCUUUGCCAUAUCUGAAAAUAUGUCAAUUAUUCUGUUGCCUUUAGGAGCCAAAAAGUCAGACCGAGGCUCCGUACCUAAAUGUAUAAGAUGAACCCAGCGUGUGCUGGACGCAUCACCAUGGAUCACUGCACUGCAGGAACAUGUCGGCCACAGCUGCUCCCCACCAACUGACCCCAGGGCAUGAUGGGAAACGCCCAGCUGUCACUUGAAGAUAUUUCACUUAAGACUAAAGGCAUCAGCAACUUCUCCUUUUACCCCUCGGACACUGUGGGAAUGUCCAACGGAACGAGCAGGUUAUGGCUCAAAAGGUGCAGUGCACAGGCUCUGGAGAACAUCUAGAGAACAUCUAGUGGUGUUCCCGAUCUAGAACCAAUGGUUUUAUUUGCCUGUUCUGGGAUACUGUAGAAAAAACUAUGAGGUCUAUAUGGCUUAUUCUAAGCUGACCAA
ensembl:lncRNA